rnacentral:rRNA from 1 species
CCUACGGGAGGCAGCAGUAGGGAAUAUUGCUCAAUGGGGGAAACCCUGAAGCAGUAACGCCGCGUGGAGGAUGAAGGUUUUCGGAUUGUAAACUUCUGUCGCGAGGGAUGAAGAAUGACGGUACCUCGUAAGAAAGCCCCGGCAAACUACGUGCCAGCAGCCGCGGUAAUACGUAGGGGGCGAGCGUUGUCCGGAAUGACUGGGCGUAAAGGGAGUGUAGGCGGCAUAUUAAGUUAUGUGUGAAAGCCCGCGGCUCAACCGCGGAAUUGCACAUAAAACUGGUAAGCUGGAGUGCAGGAGAGGUAAGUGGAAUUCCCGGUGUAGCGGUGGAAUGCGUAGAGAUCAUACAGAACACCGAUUGCGAAGGCAGCUUACCAAACUACGACUGACGUUGAGGCACGAAAGCGUGGGGAGCAAACAGGAUUAGAUACCCCAGUAGUC